UAUGUUCUCUGUUUUAAGUAGUUUUAACUUAUUCUCAGAGUACUAUCGAUAUAACUUAUUUUUGAGUUAUUUGAGAAUUAUGAUUUCGAUAAUUUAUUUUGUUUACUUUUUGUCCUAUUAAAGUACCCAAAUCGAAGUGUUGAAACCGCACUCUAUUUUGGAUGAAAAAUAAAAACGACUCCAUUAGGAUAGGUGAUAGGAAGAUUUUAUUGAAAUAUUCAGAUCUAUACAACGUGCACGAGCGUUGGAAAAAAUGCACCAACAGAAAGAGGACCGGAAAAUCAUUCCCGUAAUCAAAUGGAAUUCCAAAUCCGUAAAACUUGAAUUCCACAGGGCAGCCUCACAUAACAGAUGCAUCACAGGAGCAGGAGAAAUCUCGGGAGGAUUAAUCACACCCCACACAUUCGUCACGGAACACGGGUUGCGGAUUUUCUGAAGAUCAUUAAGAUAUCUAUGUGUUAAUUAAUUAUGUAGCCGAAUGUGUUAAUAAUAGUGGAAAAUAAAAUAUAAUUCAUAAGUUAAUUUAUGCAGCCUGUAUGUUGUUCAAGAGAAAUCGCGAUCAAAAUUUCGAACAAUUUUGCCACUGCUAAGAACCCCAUUUUGAGUAGUUUUACCCCAAAAAUCGCUAUUCCCGAAAUAGUUAGUUUUUACUUAAAACGGCCUCUUCGUGGAAUGACUCGAAAUUGAAUACUUUGCAAAAUACUCAAUUUUGAAUCAUUCCACUUAGCUGUCAAGAUGAGUACAAAAGAGUUAAUUUUAGGUAGUUUCGCCUCUCCGUGUAUACGAAAGCUCCGAACAGGUAGGAGAAUGGAAGAGAAUGAUCAGAUAGGGCGAGAAAGAAAAAAAGCGGUUACCGAUUCGUGUGUGAGUUUUCGGUCAUGGAGAAGGAGAAAAAGAUCUUCAGUCUUGAAAGUAGUUUUGUGUCGAACAGUAUGGUUAGCGCGUGAUAUUCAUUUUAGAUAAAUCGGGAACUGUGUUUAAAAAUAAGCUUGAACACUACACUGUGGAGCGGAAAAUCACCUGAAAAUA
rnacentral:lncRNA from 1 species